UCAUUUGAAUAUUCACAAUUUUACAUCCUGUGGCAAGCUUGUAGGGGGUUCUGUUUGUUUUGUUUGGGGAGCAGGGUUCAAUCUGGCACAGGAUGCAGCAGGAGUAUCAUCUGGAAGGAGAGGGAGGAGGGUGGAGUAUCAAAUUCUACUGCAUCCCCCAACUUUAGCCCUUCUUAUAUCUUCAGGCCCUACACUAUAUAUGUCCGAGAGUCUGCUCCCUUGGAAAUGACAGUGUCUCCCUUCAGGGUGAGGUCCAGAAAGCAGGACACCCACCACGGACAGGCUGAGGGCAGAGGGAAGAGACGGAGAAGGGGAGUGGAGCAAGCAGGAGGAGAUAGGAAGAAGAAGCACUUUCAGGGACUGACAGUCUCUCACAAAGCAGAGAAAGAAUCUGGGCAGCAGUUGCGGGCUGUGUGGCACUGAUGCAUGGGAGAUCUGCAGGGAGGAACCUUCUGCAGCUUCCUUGGGGAGCCCCUGACUCCCCACCACACCCCCACCAACUGUGUCUCCUUUCCUGGCCCCUUCAGCACCAUCACCAAGACCUGCUGGCUGCUGGCCUCAACCGUGGGGUAAGGGGGAGAAAGGGGAAGUGGGAGGAGGAGGAGUGACCAGCCUUCUAGCCCGAACCCUUGGUGCUGCCAGGGAAACAUCCUCCUCCCACCCCCACCCCC
rnacentral:lncRNA from 1 species